rnacentral:rRNA from 1 species
AGAAUCAACGCUGGCGGCGUGCCUAACACAUGCAAGUCGAACGAGAAAGUGGAGCAAUCCAUGAGUAAAGUGGCGCACGGGUGAGUAACACGUGACUAACCUACCCUUGAGUGGGGGAUAACCUAGAGAAAUCUGGGCUAAUACCGCAUAAUACCUUCGGGUCAAAGGAGCAAUUCGCUUAAGGAGGGGGUCGCGGCCGAUUAGUUAGUUGGCGGGGUAAUGGCCCACCAAGACUAUGAUCGGUAUCCGGCCUGAGAGGGGCGCGACGGAACGACGACCUGGAAACGUGAAACACGGUCCAGACUCCUACGGGAGGCAGCAGUGGGGAAUUUGCGCAAUGGGGGAAACCCUGACGCAGCAACGCCGCGUGGAGGAUGAAGUCCCUUGGGACGUAAACUCCUUUCGAUCGGGACGAUAAUGACGUACGAGAGAAGAAGCCCGGCUAACUUCGUGCCAGCAGCCGC